GUGCUUGCUUCAGCAGCACACAUACUAAAACUGGAAUGAUACAGAGACUAGCAUGGCCCCUGCACAAGGAUGACAUGCUGAUGUGGGAGUGUCAUAUAUCAAU